AGAGUUUGAUCCUGGCUCAGAUUGAACGCUGGCGGCAUGCUUUACACAUGCAAGUCGAACGGCAGCACGGGGGCGAACCCUCGGUGGCGAGUGGCGAACGGGUGAGUAAUGCAUCGGAACGUAUCCUUGAGUGGGGGAGUAACGCAGCGAAAGUUAGUGCUAAUAACCGCAUGAGCCCUCGAGGGGGAAAGGACGGGGGAGUCUUCGGACCUCGCGCUAAGAGAAGAGCCUACGUCUGAUUAGCUAGUUGGUAGGGUAAAAGGCCUACCAAGGCGACGAUCAGUAGCUGGUCUGAGAGGACGGACCAGCCACACUGGGACGUGAGACACGGCCCACGACUCCUACGGGAGGCGAC
rnacentral:rRNA from 1 species